rnacentral:tRNA from 3 species
GCGCGGGUGGUGGAAUUGGUAGACACGCAGGCUUGAGGGGCCUGUGCCUGUAAUGGGCGUGGAAGUUCGAGUCUUCUCUCGCGCACCA